UUAUGAAUUAAUGUAAGGUGAAACCUGCCCUAUGAUAAUUUAAAUGGCCGCAGUACUUUGACUGUGCUAAGGUAGCAUAAUAAAUUGACUUUUAAUUGGGGCCUUGAAUGAAAGGUAAUAUGAAUAAUUACUGUCUUAAUUUUAAUAAUAAUAAGUUACUUAUAAGAUGAAAAUUUCUUAAAGUUAAUUUAAAAGACGAGAAGACCCUAGGAGUUUAUACAUUUAUAAUGUUUUGUUGGGGCGACACUACAACAUAUCAACUUGUAGAAAACAUUUAAAUUUAUAAAACGAAAAUUUUUAAUCAUACUUAAGCUACCCUAGGGAUAACAGCAUAAUUUAAUUUUAAGUUUGUGACCUCGAUGUUGGACUAGGGACUUUUAGUAUUAACAAUAUUAAAAAUUUGUUCUGUUCGAACUUUGUUCCCUACAU
rnacentral:rRNA from 1 species